UCAGGAUGAACGCUGGCGGCGUGCCUAACACAUGCAAGUCGAACGAAGCAAUUAAAGGAAGUUUUCGGAUGGAAUUGAUUGACUGAGUGGCGGACGGGUGAGUAACACGUGGGUAACCUGCCCAUAAGAGGGGGAGUAACAUCCGGAAACGGGUGCUAAUACCGCAUAGUUUUCUUGAUCGCAUGAUCGGGAAAGGAAAGACGGCCUUUGUGCUGUCGCUUAUGGAUGGACCCGCGGCGUAUUAGUUAGUUGGUGAGGUAACGGCUCACCAAGACGAUGAUACGUAGCCGACCUGAGAGGGUGAUCGGCCACAUUGGGACUGAGACACGGCCCAAACUCCUACGGGAGGCAGCAGUAGGGAAUCUUCCGCAAUGGACGAAAGUCUGACGGAGCAACGCCGCGUGAGUGAAGAAAAGGUUUUCGGAUCGUAAAACUCUGUUGUCAGAGAAGAACAAGUUGGAGAGUAACUGCUCCAGCCUUGACGGUAUCUGACCAGGAAGCCACGGCUAACUACGUGCCAGCCGCUGC
rnacentral:rRNA from 1 species